CACUUUCCUAUUGGCCGCUGGGGUCUCUGGGACUCCCCUGGAGGGAGCCCCGGGGAAUCAGAGUAUUCGGCGCCGGGUCCUGGGAUAGCGCUGCGGUCCCCGGGGCAUCCUUUGUCCACGACCCCUAAAAUUGGACCACAGCCGUAGGGUGGGGCUCAGCUCUGGGCGGGCCUGGAGAAGAAGAGAGGCUGGCAGCCGGGCUGUGGGGUGUGACCAGGAUCCCAGAGCGAAAUCCUGGGUCUCCACCUGAUCACUCGCCCACCCUGGAGUCGAACCUGGGAGCAGGACCGAAGAAGGGGAGGAGCGGAGCAGGAUGUCCCCGGGGCUGCAGGUGCCCGGGAGCAGAGCGCCGCGGGAGUGCUGGGCGCUGGAGUGAAAGUGGGGCGCGGAGGGCAUCGAGCAUUAGACGUCGGGAAGCGCUUCCCACCUCUGGGAAUGUAGACACGGCGGCGGAACCAAGCAGGGAAAACCAAGCCCUAACUGGGCCCAUGUCAGCUCCAGCCCACCACUGACCGUCCUUCAGACGCAGGGGCAGACCAGCCCCCAGCUCGGCCUCACUGCAGAAGUAGCCGCUACCUCGGGAGUCCCAGAAAAGCCUG